rnacentral:sRNA from 12 species
UCCAUUAGUCAGUUUAUUAUAUAUCUCGGUGAAGAGCAAAAGCCAUUGUGCCGAGAGCCUAACCGCUCGAAGAGAGUGGUCUAGAAUGGGAAUGUUAGAGGAUACCCUAACAAACCCUAGAUGGCUCUUAUUGUGAGAUAAGAGUUGCCUGCGCCUAAAGGUGUGGCUAGAGGUUAGGUGUGCUGACAAAAUCGCAACCAAAGAUACUGUCUCAUCGCAUCCGCAAUAGAAGUUGAGCGUUAAAAGCGUGAACUGAAGCCAAGUUAGAGUCCAGUGUGGCAACUGGGGUAGACCUUGGUAAAGCCAAUAAGGAUGUUUGUAGUGAUGUCAUGGUAACAUGACUAUAAGAUGAGGUCAAGGUACGAGUAGCCUAAUACAGGGACAUAUGGUAAAAAGAAUAUUUUUGAAGAUUAUUAUUUUACUUCUUGUCUGAAUGGUGGGUGAAAGUUAGAGGUAGACAAUCCUCUCAAGCAAAGAUAUGAAGAAUAUCUAAGAGCGUAGAGUGCGCUUGAAGGCAAGAAGUUAUAAGGUCGCUCCUUAUGGCUCAGACUUGUUUUCGCUUGUGGUUGAAUAUGGUUGAAGGUUUAACAGUUGGUAGGGCGAAGGUCCAUAUAAUAGUUACUGAUU